AUUAUGAGCCUGAAAAUGAGCAUAAUAUGAGCACUUUAAGUAAAGAAUCUGAAUACCUCAUCUACAACUAGAUAAAAUAAUAAUAAUAACAUGUGAUCAUGUCAAAAAUGUAUCUUCAGUUAACAAGAUAGUUAAGUAGUAUUAUUAUAGAAAUCCUAAAAAUGUAUUUUAGCAACCACAGCCAAUCCUAGCAUCAUUUUGUCUGCCAUGGCACAGCACCAGCUAUCAACACUCCUUUCCUUACCAGCACUGCAUUCCAGUGUUUUCUGUCAUGUUUUAGCAUCUCUUUCCAUGUC